AACGAACGCUGGCGGCAUGCCUAACACAUGCAAGUCGAACGAGACCUUCGGGUCUAGUGGCGCACGGGUGCGUAACGCGUGGGAACCUGCCCUUAGGUUCGGAAUAACUCCCCGAAAGGGGUGCUAAUACCGGAUAAUGUCUUCGGACCAAAGAUUUAUCGCCUUUGGAUGGGCCCGCGUUGGAUUAGCUAGUUGGUAGGGUAAAAGCCUACCAAGGCGACGAUCCAUAGCUAGUCUGAGAGGAUGAUCAGCCACACUGGGACUGAGACACGGCCCAGACUCCUACGGGAGGCAGCAGUGGGGAAUAUUGGACAAUGGGCGAAAGCCUGAUCCAGCAUUGCCGCGUGAGUGAUGAAGGCCUUAGGGUUGUAAAGCUCUUUUACCCGGGAUGAUAAUGACAGUACCGGGAGAAUAAGCUCCGGCUAACUCCGU
rnacentral:rRNA from 1 species